rnacentral:rRNA from 1 species
CGCCUUGCCAGCCCGCUCAGAAACUUAAAGGAAUUGACGGGGCCCGCACAAGCGGUGGAGCAUGUGGUUUAAUUCGAUGAUACGCGAGGAACCUUACCUGGGCUCAAAUGUAUGUUGACGUAUUCUGAAAGGGAUACUUCUUCGGACAAUAUACAAGGUGCUGCAUGGUUGUCGUCAGCUCGUGCCGUGAGGUGUCGGGUUAAGUCCCAUAACGAGCGCAACCCCUAUCAUUAGUUGCCAUCAGGUCAAGCUGGGGACUCUAAUGAAACUGCCUACGCAAGUAGUGAGGAAGGUGGGGAUGACGUCAAAUCAGCACGGCCCUUACGUCCAGGGCUACACACGUGCUACAAUGGCCGGUACAAAGGGCAGCUACCUGGUGACAGGAUGCUAAUCUCAAAAGCCGGUCUCAGUUCGGAUCGGAGUCUGCAACCCGACUCCGUGAAGUUGGAUUCGCUAGUAAUCGCGCAUCAGCCAUGGCGCGGUGAAUACGUUCCCGGGCCUU